AGAGUUUGAUCAUGGCUCAGAUUGAACGCUGGCGGCAGGCCUAACACAUGCAAGUCGAGCGGAUGAAGGGAGCUUGCUCCUGGAUUCAGUGGCGGACGGGUGAGUAAUGCCUAGGUAUCUGCCUGGUAGUGGGGGAUAACGUCCGGAAACUGGCGCUAAUACCGCAUACGUCCUGAGGGAGAAAGUGGGGGAUCUUCGGACCUCACGCUAUCAGAUGAGCCUAGGUCGGAUUAGCUAGUUGGUGGGGUAAAGGCCUACCAAGGCGACGAUCCCUAGCUGGUCUGAGAGGAUGACCAGCCACACUGGAACUGAGACACGGUCCAGACUCCUACGGGAGGCAGCAGUGGGGAAUAUUGCACAAUGGGCGCAAGCCUGAUGCAGCCAUGCCGCGUGUAUGAAGAAGGCCUUCGGGUUGUAAAGUACUUUCAGCGGGGAGGAAGGGAGUAAAGUUAAUACCUUUGCUCAUUGACGUUACCCGCAGAAGAAGCACCGGCUAACUCCGUGCCAGCAGCCGCGGUAAUACGGAGGCUGCAAGCGUUAAUCGGAAUUACUGGGCGUAAAGCGCACGCAGGCGGUUUGUUAAGUCAGAUGUGAAAUCCCCGGGCUCAACCUGGGAACUGCAUCUGAUACUGGCAAGCUUGAGUCUCGUAGAGGGGGGUAGAAUUCCAGGUGUAGCGGUGAAAUGCGUAGAGAUCUGGAGGAAUACCGGUGGCGAAGGCGGCCCCCUGGACGAAGACUGACGCUCAGGUGCGAAAGCGUGGGGAGCAAACAGGAUUAGAUACCCCGGUAGUCCACGCCGUAAACGAUGUCGACUUGGAGGUUGUGCCCUUGAGGCGUGGCUUCCGGAGCUAACGCGUUAAGUCGACCGCCUGGGGAGUACGGCCGCAAGGUUAAAACUCAAAUGAAUUGACGGGGGCCCGCACAAGCGGUGGAGCAUGUGGUUUAAUUCGAUGCAACGCGAAGAACCUUACCUGGUCUUGACAUCCACGGAAGUUUUCAGAGAUGAGAAUGUGCCUUCGGGAACCGUGAGACAGGUGCUGCAUGGCUGUCGUCAGCUCGUGUUGUGAAAUGUUGGGUUAAGUCCCGCAACGAGCGCAACCCUUAUCCUUUGUUGCCAGCGGUCCGGCCGGGAACUCAAAGGAGACUGCCAGUGAUAAACUGGAGGAAGGUGGGGAUGACGUCAAGUCAUCAUGGCCCUUACGACCAGGGCUACACACGUGCUACAAUGGCGCAUACAAAGAGAAGCGACCUCGCGAGAGCAAGCGGACCUCAUAAAGUGCGUCGUAGUCCGGAUUGGAGUCUGCAACUCGACUCCAUGAAGUCGGAAUCGCUAGUAAUCGUGGAUCAGAAUGCCACGGUGAAUACGUUCCCGGGCCUUGUACACACCGCCCGUCACACCAUGGGAGUGGGUUGCAAAAGAAGUAGGUAGCUUAACCUUCGGGAGGGCGCUUACCACUUUGUGAUUCAUGACUGGGGUGAAGUCGAAACAAGGUA
rnacentral:rRNA from 1 species